rnacentral:rRNA from 1 species
GCGGUAAGACGUAGGACGCGAGCGUUAUCCGGAUUUACUGGGCGUAAAGCGCCUGCAGGCGGUCAGGUAAGUCGGUUGUGAAAGCCCCGUGCUCAACGCGGGGAGGCCAAGCGAUACUGCGUGACUUGAGGGCGGAAGAGGGGAGUGGAAUUCCCGGUGUAGCGGUAAAAUGCGCAGAUAUCGGGAGGAACACCAGUGGCGAAGGCGGCUCCCUGGACCGCACCUGACGCUCAGAGGCGAAAGCUAGGGGAGCGAACAGGAUUAGAGACCCUGGUAGUCCUAGCCCUAAACGCUGGAUGCUAGGUGUAGGGCUGAUGAGGCUCUGUGCCGGAGCGAACGCGAUAAGCAUCCCGCCUGGGAACUACGGCCGCAAGGCUAAAACUCAAACGAAUUGACGGGGACCCGCACAAGCAGCGGAGCGUGUGGUUUAAUUCGAUGCUACACGAAGAACCUUACCUGGGUUUGACAUGUUGGUGGUACUGAACCGAAAGGGGAGGGACCCUUCGGGGAGCCAACACAGGUGCUGCAUGGCUGUCGUCAGCUCGUGCCGUGAGGUGUUGGGUUAAGUCCCGUAACGAGCGCAACCCUUGCUCUUAGUUAUACGUGUCUAAGGGGACUGCCGGCGACAAGCCGGAGGAAGGUGGGGAUGACGUCAAGUCAGCA